GGGGGUGUUCUGGAUUCGACCUUGGUACUGUAGGAUAUGAUGGCAUACCGGAGAUGAUGGUUGGCUCCGUUAUCAAUCCAUCACCAAAUCAUAAAUGGCAACUCACAAGUUGACCUCAAGAUGGCUGCUUAAAUAAAGCAACCUCGUCCCUGGGCUCAUGCCUGUUAAGCUUGGGGGCGUUGUCUAACAGGUAUAGCUAAAGUCGUGCUUGCGGGGCUUAGCCGUAUAUCCACCGUAGCUGGCCUAGUGUAAGCGUGCUUUUCCGCGUGCACUCGGUAAGACUAAAAGACAAGCUAAGUAUGUAGAGGUUGUAUUUGAACGUUCAAGGGACGCGGGUUCAAUUCCCGCCACCUCCACCA
rnacentral:sRNA from 1 species